GUAAAACAUAGUUACUAAUACGGAAUCAAGCAUUCAAGUUGAAGAACCAACUGUUUUGAACUAUUCAAGAACAAUUUACAACACCUUCGAAAGGUGUGUUCUUGACACUUGCAAGACAUUUCUUGCAAAUACCCCUUCCAAUAUCCAUCCUUUCAUAAAGAAAGUUUGUUCCCUUGGAGUUAUUUAUCUUCUUUAUCUGACUUCUCCUUUUGACUACAAUAGUCAUGGUCCCUAAACUCCCACUAUCUCUCUUGAAACCUUUUUCAAUUGUGUUAUACACAUCAAACAUUUUGGAGAGCAUGUGGUUAUUUUUCACUACAUAGUUUACAAUAAACUUAGUGAACGAUUAGGAUAGGGAAACAAAGGUGAAGUCCUUGCCUAGUUUCCGUCUCAUUAAGUGGUUUUAUCACUUCAACACUUAAUGAUUCAAAAUCAUUAUAAAUCCAUGUUAAUGGACUAUUUUUGUCAACCAACCAUUAUGUUCUAAACAUAAUUACAAACUUUUAAAGAGUUGUACAAGGCAACUCUUAUUUCUUCACACAACAAAUUGUAAGUGAAGAAUCAUGGCA
rnacentral:lncRNA from 1 species